rnacentral:rRNA from 1 species
CAGAGGGUGCGAGCGUUAAUCGGAAUUACUGGGCGUAAAGCGCGCGUAGGCGGCUUUGCAAGUCGGGUGUGAAAUCCCCAGGCUUAACCUGGGAACUGCAUUCGAGACUGCAUUGCUAGAGUAUGGGAGAGGGAAGUGGAAUUUCCGGUGUAGCGGUGAAAUGCGUAGAUAUCGGAAGGAUCAUCAGUGGCGAAAGCGACUUCCUGGACCAAUACUGACGCUCAUGUGCGAAAGCGUGGGGAGCAAACAGGAUUAGAUACCCUGGUAGUCCACGCCAUAAACGAUGAGAACUGGAUGUCGGGAGGGUCUGCCUCUCGGUGUCGUAGCUAACGCGUUAAGUUCUCCGCCUGGGGAGUACGGCCGCAAGGUUG